UUCUAGCAAGAAAGCCACGCUCAUCUGGGGAGAGGAGGAGGUAGACCAUCUGCACAAGUUGAGGGCAGUGUCUGCUUCCCAGAAUUUCUGCUUCUGCCUCUGACAGGGAGCCAUGACUCCUUCCUUCCCCACACCUCUUAAGGGCAGCAGCAAAGGACUGAAAGAGGGAGCAGGGACCAGUAAAGCAGUAAGACAGUAGAGAUCCAUAAGGCAAAUGGUGGACCACUGGAGGGAAAGACCAUACCCCAGUUAUCUCCCAUGCCACGUGCCCUAGGGAAAAACACCAGUUGUUUGCUUUAGUUAUAGCUUUGUCACUAUACUAUUCCUCCCAGCCUCGGACAGCCUCUCCCCAUACACAUAGUCUGCCCAUUCUUGUUACAUGCUCCUCUCACCACCAGAUCUGGCUAAAUGAUGCUGAGUAGAUCAGAUUCCUAACCACUGACCAGCUCCAGUGCUGUGAGCCUCCCCAGAGCACCUUAGACACACUCUCUCUGUCUCUGUCUCUCUAUCACUAUUCUCUCUCCACCUAUCCCACCCAGGCCGAAAGCAUAGUGGCUACUCAUAGUCCAACCUCACUGCUGAUUGGCUCAGAAGCUUUAAUUUGCUUCAUUUCUGACCUUAGCUAAUUUACCUCCUCUUUAGGCAGCCUAGUAGCUCCUCCUCCCCUAUCCCCAUUGUCAGAAGUCCAUCAUAUUGAUGCCAGAUGGUGAAGAUACCUGAUUGGCUCAGUCUUCUGUGAUUCAGAAUGCCCCAACCCAAGUGAUCAACCAGCCUCCACCUCCCCAGACACAGGAACUACAGGCAUGGGUCUCUGUGAUUCACAGAACCAAGGACACUCUUACAUGCCUCUUCUACCUCCAGGCUCUACAGAGCCCUCAUUCUACUGGGUUCUAUUCUCUGCCUCCCAUUGAGAUCUCCAGGUCCCAAGACUAUGGUCUUCUAAUUGGUCACUAAACAAAAAUUCUAAGAAAUAAACAUUUCCAGAAGCCCUGAUAUCCUCAUGAACUCACCGAAGUUGGAAGUUCCUGAGUCACUGCCAUCUGCCUAGUGACUAUUUUUCUAAACUUCCAAGAAUGAAACAUCUUAGACACUUUUGCCUGCCAUAGACACAAAAGUCAUGGAUGACAUAACGAGAAGGAGUCCUCUUACCCACAGAGGGCUUUGGAAGCCCAGAUGAGGGCCAUAUGCCUAAUCAGCCUUCAGAGAGAGACCAGUUGAUAAAUGGACCAUUCAACACUGUCAUGGUAAAUAAAUAAAGAGAAAAG